UUCAGAGGUGGCAAGCGUUGUUCGGAAUUACUGGGCGUAAAGGGCGUGUAGGCGGCCUUUUAAGUCAGACGUGAAAUCCCCCGGCUCAACCUGGGAACUGCGUCUGAUACUGGAAGGCUAGAGUAUGGGAGAGGGAUGUAGAAUUCCAGGUGUAGCGGUGAAAUGCGUAGAUAUCUGGAGGAAUACCGGUGGCGAAGGCGGCAUCCUGGACCAUUACUGACGCUGAUACGCGAAAGCUAGGGGAGCAAACGGG
rnacentral:rRNA from 1 species